rnacentral:rRNA from 1 species
GUGGGGAAUAUUGGACAAUGGGGGGAACCCUGAUCCAGCCAUGCCGCGUGUGUGAAGAAGGCCUUUUGGUUGUAAAGCACUUUAAGCGAGGAGGAGGCUACCGAGAUUAAUACUCUUGGAUAGUGGACGUUACUCGCAGAAUCAGCACCGGCUAACUCUGUGCCAGCAGCCGCGGUAAUACAGAGGGUGCAAGCGUUAAUCGGAUUUACUGGGCGUAAAGCGCGCGUAGGUGGCCAAUUAAGUCAAAUGUGAAAUCCCCGAGCUUAACUUGGGAAUUGCAUUCGAUACUGGUUGGCUAGAGUAUGGGAGAGGAUGGUAGAAUUCCAGGUGUAGCGGUGAAAUGCGUAGAGAUCUGGAGGAAUACCGAUGGCGAAGGCAGCCAUCUGGCCUAAUACUGACACUGAGGUGCGAAAGCAUGGGGAGCAAACAGGAUUAGAUACCCGAGUAGUCC